rnacentral:rRNA from 1 species
AGCAGCCGCGGUAAUUCCAGCUCCAAUAGCGUAUAUUAAAGUUGUUGCAGUUAAAAAGCUCGUAGUUGAAUUUCGGGAUCGACGGGUCGGUCGCGCCUCUGGUGUGUACUGGCCCUGUCGGUUUCUCCCUUCUGACGAACCACGAUGUCAUUAAUUUGGUGUCGUGGGAAAUCAGGACUGUUACUUUGAAAAAAUUAGAGUGUUUAAAGCAGGCAUUCGCUUGAAUACAUUAGCAUGGAAUAAUGAAAUAGGACGUUUGAUCUUAUUUUGUUGGUUUCUAAGAUCGACGUAAUGAUUAAUAGGGAUAGUUGGGGGCAUUAGUAUUCAAUUGUCAGAGGUGAAAUUCUUGGAUUUAUUGAAGACUAACUACUGCGAAAGCAUUUGCCAAGGAUGUUUUCAUUAAUCAAGAACGAAAGUUAGGGGAUCGAAGACGACCAGAUACCGUCGUAG